AGCUGCAGAAGAAGCACCGGCUAACUCCGUGCCAGCAGCCGCGGUAAUACGGAGGGUGCGAGCGUUAAUCGGAAUUACUGGGCGUAAAGCGCAUGCAGGUGGUUUGUUAAGUCAGAUGUGAAAGCCCGGGGCUCAACCUCGGAAUUGCAUUUGAAAACUGGCAGACUAGAGUACUGUAGAGGGGGUAGAAUUUCAGGUGUAGCGGUGAAAUGCGUAGAGAUCUGAAGGAAUACCGGUGGCGAAGGCCGGCCCCCUGGACAGAUACUGACACUCAGAUGCGAAAGCGUGGGGAGCAAACAGGAUUAGAUACCCUGGUAG
rnacentral:rRNA from 1 species